CCUACGGGAGGCAGCAGUGAGGAAUAUUGGUCAAUGGCCGGAAGGCUGAACCAGCCAAGCCGCGUGAAGGACGAAGGUGCCAAGCAUUGUAAACUUCUUUUGUCAAGGGACAAACUCAGGCUCGAGAGCCUGACCGAGGGUACUUGAAGAAAAGCAUCGGCUAACUCCGUGCCAGCAGCCGCGUUAAUACGGAGGAUGCGAGCGUUAUCCGGAUUUAGUGGGUUUAAAGGGUGCGUAGGCGGGAUGUAAAGGCAGCGGUAAAAGCCCGGGGCUCAACCCCGGCGAGUCGUUGAAACUGGCUGUCUUGAGAUGUCGAGAGGUAUGCGGAAUGCGCAGUGUAGCGGUGAAGUGCUUAGAUAUUGCGCAGAACUCCGAGUGCGAAGGCAGCAUACCGGCGGCGAUCUGACGCUGAGGCACGAAAGCGUGGGUAUCGAACAGGAUUAGAUACCCCUGUAGGC
rnacentral:rRNA from 1 species